GACGAACGCUGGCGGCGUGCUUAACACAUGCAAGUCGAACGGAAAGGCCCUGCUUUUGUGGGGUGCUCGAGUGGCGAACGGGUGAGUAACACGUGAGUAACCUGCCCUUGACUUUGGGAUAACUUCAGGAAACUGGGGCUAAUACCGGAUAGGAGCUCCUGCUGCAUGGUGGGGGUUGGAAAGUUUCGGCGGUUGGGGAUGGACUCGCGGCUUAUCAGCUUGUUGGUGGGGUAGUGGCUUACCAAGGCUUUGACGGGUAGCCGGCCUGAGAGGGUGACCGGGGACAGGGGGACGGAGAGACGGGCGAGAGGGCGACGGGAGGCAGCAGGGGGGAAUAGUGAAGAAGGGGCGGAAGCCUGAUGCAGCAACGCCGCGUGCGGGAUGACGGCGGUCGGGGGGUAAAGCGCGUGCGCGGGUGAGGAAGGGGGAGUGACGGGAAUGGGUAAAGAAGCACCGGCUAACUAGGGG
rnacentral:rRNA from 1 species